UACGUAGGAGGCGAGCGUUGUCCGGAGUUACUGGGCGUAAAGGGUGCGCAGGCGGCGGUUCGCGUGGAUAGAUGAAAUCUCCUGGCUUACCUGGGAGGAUGGUAUCCAGACGGGAGCGCUUGAGGGUCGGAGAGGGGCGUGGAAUUCCGGGUGGAGCGGUGAAAUGCGUAGAGAUCCGGAGGAACACCGACGGCGUAGGCAGCGCCCUGGGCUGACACUGACGCUCAGGCACGAAAGCGUGGGGAGCAAACAGG
rnacentral:rRNA from 1 species